AGCUUUGCGCAGUGGCAGUAUCGUAGCCAAUGAGGUUUAUCCGAGGCGCGAUUAUUGCUAAUUGAAUCUUGAUAUUCAGAGAAAAAGUCCUUAUUGCUCACCUUGGCUACAGCAAGAUAUGAGCAUUGUUGUCUGCCAUAGGACAAUGG
rnacentral:snRNA from 1 species